GCGAAGCUCGGAAUGCCAGUCCGGUACUGCAGCUGCCCAGCAAUGGGAUGUGCUCGUCUGGGCUGGUGUCCCUUCUCUAUUCCACCCCAUUGUGAACCAAGCGUGCGAGCAGAAGAGAGAUCGGAAGCUCGCAUGCUCACUUUAACAUACCCCUGAUUAAGUAUCUGAAUGUACCUUGCGUUAACUCGCACAAAUA
rnacentral:misc_RNA from 1 species